AAUUGACGCAACGCGAAAAACCUUACCUANCCCUNGACAUGCUUGGAAUCCCUGCAGAGAUGUGGGGAGUGCUCGAAANGAGAACCAAGACACAGGUGCUNGCAUGGCCGUCGUCAGCUCGUGUCGUGAGAUGUUGGGUUAAGUCCCGCAACGAGCGCAACCCUUGUCAUUAGUUGCUACGAAAGGGCACUCUAAUGAGACUGCCGGUGACAAACCGGAGGAAGGUGGGGAUGACGUCAGGUCAUCAUGGCCCUUAUGGGUAGGGCUACACACGUCAUACAAUGGCCGGUACAGAGGGCUGCCAACCCGCGAGGGGGAGCUAAUCCCAGAAAACCGGUCGUAGUCCGGAUCGCAGUCUGCAACUCGACUGCGUGAAGUCGGAAUCGCUAGUAAUCGCGGAUCAGCUUGCCGCGGUGAAUACGUUCCCGGGUCUUGUACACACCGCCCGUCACACCAUGGGAGCGGGUUCUGCCAGAAGUAGUUAGCCUAACCGCAAGGAGGGCGAUUACCACGGCAGGGUUCGUGACUGGGGUGAAGUCGUAACAAGGUGGCCGUAUCGGAAGGUGCGGCUGGAUCACCUCCUU
rnacentral:rRNA from 1 species